rnacentral:lncRNA from 1 species
GGGAGUACUCGAGAUUUGAUGAGCCGUCAUGUAUGUCUCCUGAGGAUAUAUCUGACGAUGAUGUGGAGGCAGUGCUAACCAUGUUCUUCAGGAACUAUCAAGGAGUACCCAUUAUUCCUUCAGCUCUUCGUUAGUUUGAUGCUUGGUAUGGGUCACAAGAGGUAUGUUUUUUGCUUGACUUGUACUUUUCGAGAUGUUGGGACAUUGUUUGAGUAACAACUUGUUUUGUAGUCCCAGGUUC